AGAGUUUGAUCCUGGCUCAGGAUGAACGCUGGCGGCGUGCCUAACACAUGCAAGUCGAGCGAUCCUCUUCGGAGAAGAGCGGCGGACGGGUGAGUAACGCGUGGGUAACCUGCCCUGUACACACGGAUAACAUACCGAAAGGUAUGCUAAUACGGGAUAAUAUGCUUUUAUCGCAUGGUAGAAGUAUCAAAGCUCCGGCGGUACAGGAUGGACCCGCGUCUGAUUAGCUAGUUGGUAAGGUAACGGCUUACCAAGGCGACGAUCAGUAGCCGACCUGAGAGGGUGAUCGGCCACAUUGGAACUGAGACACGGUCCAAACUCCUACGGGAGGCAGCAGUGGGGAAUAUUGCACAAUGGGCGAAAGCCUGAUGCAGCAACGCCGCGUGAGCGAUGAAGGCCUUCGGGUCGUAAAGCUCUGUCCUCAAGGAAGAUAAUGACGGUACUUGAGGAGGAAGCCCCGGCUAACUACGUGCCAGCAGCCGCGGUAAUACGUAGGGGGCUAGCGUUAUCCGGAAUUACUGGGCGUAAAGGGUGCGUAGGUGGUUUCUUAAGUCAGAGGUGAAAGGCUACGGCUCAACCGUAGUAAGCCUUUGAAACUGGGAAACUUGGGUGCAGGAGAGGAGAGUGGAAUUCCUAGUGUAGCGGUGAAAUGCGUAGAUAUUAGGAGGAACACCAGUUGCGAAAGGCGGCUCUCUGGACUGUAACUGACACUGAGGCACGAAAGCGUGGGGAGCAAACAGGAUUAGAUACCCUGGUAGUCCACGCCGUAAACGAUGAGUACUAGCUGUCGGAGGUUACCACCUUCGGUGGCGCAGCUAACGCAUUAAGUACUCCGCCUGGAAGUACGCUCGCAAGAGUGAAACUCAAAGGAAUUGACGG
rnacentral:rRNA from 1 species